rnacentral:rRNA from 1 species
UGGGGAAUAUUGGACAAUGGGCGCAAGCCUGAUCCAGCCAUGCCGCGUGAGUGACGAAGGCCUUAGGGUUGUAAAGCUCUUUUGGCGGGGAAGAUAAUGACGGUACCCGCAGAAUAAGCUCCGGCUAACUUCGUGCCAGCAGCCGCGGUAAUACGAAGGGAGCUAGCGUUGUUCGGAAUCACUGGGCGUAAAGCGCACGUAGGUGGAUAGUUAAGUGAGGGGUGAAAGCCCGAGGCUCAACCUCGGAAUUGCCUCUCAUACUGGCUGUCUCGAGUCCGAGAGAGGUGGGUGGAAUUCCUAGUGUAGAGGUGAAAUUCGUAGAUAUUAGGAAGAACACCGGUGGCGAAGGCGGCCCACUGGCUCGGUACUGACACUGAGGUGCGAAAGCGUGGGGAGCAAACAGGAUUAGAUACCCAUGUAGUCCCUGAGCGGGCUGGCAAGGCGCAU